UCCCACCUAGCUCAGUAGGUAAAGAAUUUGCCUGCAACGCAGAAGACCCUGGUUCAAUUCCUGGCUUGGGAA
rnacentral:tRNA from 1 species